GAGAUGAUACUAUAAAAUAAAGCCAAAGUAAACUUCUAACAAUAGGGUCUAAGCCUGUUUGGUCCUCAUUGGAUGUCUCUCCACUUGUAGAGGAAAAUUACUGGGGAAUAACAAUUGUGUCAUCAUGACAAACAACUGACAUAGCUGAGGCCCGUUGAAGUCCCAGAGCAACCUUGGUCCUGUAGUCAGAGAUGACUUGUGAAAAUAAAUGCAUCUGGCUCAUUGACUUGAGUUCUUGUACCCAAACUGGAAAGAUUCAGAGCCAGGGUUGAGUCCUCCUUACAGGGCGAGUUCUCUGACAAGGAAGUUUUGCAACCUAAUUUACAGCUGGAGCCAAGCUUGUCAGUGAGUGCCAGAGGGAAACUGUCGCAAUCGGCUGGCUAAGUAUAUUCAUUUAACAAGGGAAGUCUCCGAGGAGCUAUCAAAAACUGCUUGUCAUCUUUCCAAAUCAUCUCUGUCUGCAGUGGCCAUGUCUUAAUCCUGAAGGACAACAAGGGGAUAAAUGAACAGCUCAGCACCAUCCUGGAGGGGCUCACUCAGCAGAGAGGAGGAACAAUCACUCCUAGGAUACUCUCUCAUCUGGGAUACCUUACAAUGUGUCAGAGCACCCCUGAACCCAAGGCAUGUGUAUGUGUAUAUAUAUUUUUUAAGAUAAAGAGUUUUGCUAUUAAAGUGUUCAGCCUGGAAGAACAAUGAAAAAGCCUAAGUUUCAAUGAGAU
rnacentral:lncRNA from 1 species